rnacentral:lncRNA from 1 species
CCCUCUCCACCAUACUUUCCUCUCUUUCUUAAUUUUUCCCAUGCAUUCUCAAAAUUUUCUGCAUUUCAAGCUUGAGCUUUGUGUUUUUUUUAAACAAUUCAUGACAUAUAUUUUCAGCUUCUUAUACUCAAAUAACACAAAACAAUUUGCAUCAAAUUUCUAUUGUGGAGCUGACAUCAACUGAAUUCAUUCAUAUAUAUUAUAUUAUUAUGCCACCAUGCCACAUCAGCAACAUAUCAUCAAAUGGUGUUGAUGUCAACAUGCCACAUUGGUGCUACUUUAAUGCUAUUAACACUUUGUUCUUAUGAUGCUAUCAAUGCAAAAGAAAAUGUCAUUAUUUGCAACAAGUCAAAGUACAGGUAUUAAAUGCUAAAAUUGUUAUAGUACAAUUCAUGACAUAUAUUUUCAGCUUAUUAUACACAGAGAACACAACAAUUUGCAUCAAAUUUUUAAUGAAGAGCUAACAUCUACUCGACUUCGUUCAUAUAUAUUAUGCCACAUGCCACAUCAAUACCAUGUCAUCAAAUGGUGUUGAUGUCAACAUGCCACAUUGGUGCUACUUUAACGCUAUUAACACUUUGUCCUUACAAUGCUAUCAAUGCAAAAGUAAAUGUCAUUAUUUGCAACGAGUCAAAGUACAGGUAUUAAAUUGCUAAAAACGUUAUAGCACAGGAUACCAAAGUAUCCUUUUCCCUACUUUAUUAAAUAUUUCAUUAAAUAUUUUCAAUAGAUUUCUGCACUUAUGAAACAAGAAUAGCUUGUACAUUUAAGUAGAUGUCCAAUAAAGAAUAUUGAUGUGUGUGUGCGGAUAGAUGAGAUGGCAGUAAUAUGGCAGGAAAAGCCACACCUUUAGUUGGGAAGUUGAGUUGUUGAGAAGCUACCAACUAGUAGCUAAAUAAGUUAAGAAGCAGUUACUGAGUACAUUAUAUAUCUCAUAGACUCUCUCAUAUCCUCAUUCCAGAUUCUAUAAAGAAAUAAUAUUUUCUAUCUCCUCUCUAUCUUCUACUCUUACCUUUUCUUCCUAAAUCUCUUCUGUUGCUUCCUCUAAUACUCCGUGUCCGACACAUAUUCAUUUACUCGGACGCUUGAGUGAUACAUUCAUGCAUAGUUAAUAGAUAGUUCUUUCUUUCUCUAAAGAUGAAAAGCAUGUAUUUAUAUAAAAAAAGUUAUUUGGUUGCAUUUUGGAUGAUGUACUUGGUUAUAUUUGAUUAUUUAUUUAGACUAUAAUUAUCACUAUAUAACUUUAUAUAUUUUUUAUUAUAGUUUAUUUUAUAUAAUAUAAAUGUAUCCAAGCACCCGUAUCUAAACUUAGAUCCAUAUUCUCGUAUUUUCUAUUUAGAAAGUUCACAAGUCAGACAUAGGGAUAUGCAUCCAUUUUUGACACUCAUAUCUUAGUCCAAAUAACAUAGGUUGCUUCUAUAGAUCCUUUGUUUGCUAACAUAAACAUAGCUCAAGAAUGACAAAUCAUUUGAAGGAUAACCUUAACAAUUAUAACAGUGCCACAGAUGAACCUGGUUUGGGUGCACAAAACUAGGAAAGCACGUCUUAACAUUGGACCAUGUGCAUCCUUACUCUCUCUCAAUUUCCCCUUGUCCCACCUCCCUCCUUUUCAAGUCCCCAACUUAAACACAAAAUACUAUCUCUGUUGUUCGCACAACAAAAUUAAAGUCCAAUUCAGUCCUUUGUUAUAUAUAUCAUCUGCUCACCCUCUAAAAUUCUCUAUCCUUCAUGUCUAUCCAACCUAUGCUACAUCAUCACACCUUAUCUUUCUCAUUAUUUUUCAACUUGUUAACAUGCGAGUUUUAAAAGGUUGUAAUUCUUUAACACAGGAUCCUGCUCAAUAUAGAGUUCACUUAAAUGACC